AAACACUAAUUCCCAUACGAUCACUGAAGUUAAGCAACAUCAAGCUGAGUCAGUACCUGGAAGGGUGACCACUUGGGAAUACCAAGUAUUGUAAGC